rnacentral:rRNA from 1 species
UACGAAGGGGCUAGCGUUGCUCGGAAUCACUGGGCGUAAAGGGUGCGUAGGCGGGUCUUUAAGUCAGGGGUGAAAUCCUGGAGCUCAACUCCAGAACUGCCUUUGAUACUGAGGAUCUUGAGUUCGGGAGAGGUGAGUGGAACUGCGAGUGUAGAGGUGAAAUUCGUAGAUAUUCGCAAGAACACCAGUGGCGAAGGCGGCUCACUGGCCCGAUACUGACGCUGAGGCACGAAAGCGUGGGAGCAAACAGG